UACGUAGGGGGCAAGCGUUGUCCGGAUUUAUUGGGCGUAAAGAGCGUGUAGGCGGCCAGACAGGUCAGCUGUGAAAACUCGAGGCUCAACCUCGAGACGUCGGUUGAAACCGUCUGGCUAGAGUCCGGAAGAGGAGAGUGGAAUUCCCGGUGUAGCGGUGAAAUGCGCAGAUAUCGGGAAGAACACCCGUGGCGAAGGCGGCUCUCUGGGACGGUACUGACGCUGAGACGCGAAAGCGUGGGGAGCAAACAGG
rnacentral:rRNA from 1 species